rnacentral:rRNA from 1 species
GUUGAUAAGGUUAAGUGAAUAAGGGCGCACGGUGGAUGCCUUGGCACUAGGAGCCGAUGAAGGACGGGACUAACACCGAUAUGCUUUGGGGAGCUGUACGUAAGCUAUGAUCCAGAGAUUUCCGAAUGGGGGAACCCAGCAUCUUUUAUAGGAUGUUACGUUUGCGUGAAUACAUAGCGCAUUCGAGGUAGACGCAGAGAACUGAAACAUCUAAGUACCUGCAGGAAGAGAAAGAAAAUUCGAUUCCCUGAGUAGUGGCGAGCGAAACGGGAAAAGCCCAAACCAAUGAGCUUGCUCAUUGGGGUUGUAGGACUCCAAUAUGGUAGUUCUUUCAGAUAGUCGAAUGACUUGGAAAAGUCAGUCAAAGAGGGUAAAAACCCCGUAGAUGAAAUUUGGAAGGCACCUAGGAGGAUCCUGAGUACGGCGGAACACGAGGAAUUCCGUCGGAAUCCGGGAGGACCAUCUCCCAAGGCUAAAUACUCCCUAGUGACCGAUAGUGAACCAGUACCGUGAGGGAAAGGUGAAAAGCACCCCGGAAGGGGAGUGAAAUAGAACCUGAAACCGUGUGCCUACAACAAGUCAAAGCCCGUUAAUGGGUGAUGGCGUGCCUUUUGUAGAAUGAACCGGCGAGUUACGAUUGCAUGCGAGGUUAAGUUGAAGAGACGGAGCCGCAGCGAAAGCGAGUCUGAAUAGGGCGUUUGAGUAUGUAGUCGUAGACCCGAAACCAUGUGAUCUACCCAUGUCCAGGUUGAAGGUGCGGUAAAACGCACUGGAGGACCGAACCCACGUACGUUGAAAAGUGCGGGGAUGAGGUGUGGGUAGCGGAGAAAUUCCAAACGAACUUGGAGAUAGCUGGUUCUCUCCGAAAUAGCUUUAGGGCUAGCCUCGGAAUUGAGAAUGAUGGAGGUAGAGCACUGUUUGGACUAGGGGCCCAUCUCGGGUUACCGAAUUCAGAUAAACUCCGAAUGCCAUUCAUUCAUAUCCGGGAGUCAGACUGUGAGUGAUAAGAUCCAUAGUCGAAAGGGAAACAGCCCAGACCACCAGCUAAGGUCCCAAAAUAUAUGUUAAGUGGAAAAGGAUGUGGGGUUGCACAGACAACUAGGAUGUUGGCUUAGAAGCAGCCACCAUUUAAAGAGUGCGUAAUAGCUCACUAGUCGAGUGACCCUGCGCCGAAAAUGUACCGGGGCUAAACAUAUUACCGAAGCUGUGGAGUACACCUUUAGGUGUAUUGGUAGGAGAGCGUUCUAAGGGCGUUGAAGGCAGAUCGUGAGGACUGCUGGAGCGCUUAGAAGUGAGAAUGCCGGUAUGAGUAGCGAAAGACAGGUGAGAAUCCUGUCCACCGAAUGACUAAGGUUUCCUGGGGAAGGCUCGUCCGCCCAGGGUUAGUCGGGACCUAAGCCGAGGCCGACAGGCGUAGGCGAUGGACAACAGGUUGAUAUUCCUGUACUCGUUGUUUUUGUUUGAGCAAUGGAGGGACGCAGGAGGCUAAGGAAUGCAGACGAUUGGAAAUGUCUGUCUAAGCAGUAAGUCU